UACGACUUAGUCGCUGGAGCGAAAGUGGUCUGUUAGUACGAGGCUCGCAGCGCAGCUUUGAUUCUCGGUAGUCAACGGACAUGUUACAACCGCGAUUUUGACGGGGCCCCAGUUUUGAACGUCACGUCGGCUGAACGUGGUUUUCUCGGCACAAAUCGACUUCAAAUAUAUUGGACGGCAGGUGAGGAUGAAAAACUCCAACACCUCAGUGUCAAGGAAAAUCUCAAUUAUGUAAGCUGGUGUUUCUAAGGGAUAUACUGAACAGAGACUAAAUUUGCUGAGUACUCAGACUUCUGUUGAUCUUGUUUAAUUAAGGCAAACCAGAUACAUGCAAGUAUGAUGCUGACACGUACUAUUUUUGUAAAAACACUCAAUGAUUUAUCUUGCUGUUGUCUUUAAAGUCUUUGUGUGUGUUGCAGCUUCUGUUUGCCAUAGAUUGCUGUUUUUUGAAAAGUCAGUGCCUGGCAUGUGGCAAGGCGUAGAGUCGAACUAAUUAGCUGUUGACAAGAAUCUUAGUCUAGAGUCUGCAGUCUAUUCCAAGUUGUGAACAAUUCAAAAACAUGUGUCAAUCUAGUUUAUAUAAGAACUGUUACACUUACAGUAAGUAAAUUAUAGGAUAUCCUUGAUAAGCAGUGUUUAUGUGUAUUACCGAAUUUGAGUGGUCAAGAGUGCUGUUCUUCAAUAGAUACAAGUAGCUUUCAAUAACCUACAAUGUCAAUAUGAAA